rnacentral:rRNA from 1 species
UACGUAGGGUGCGAGCGUUGUCCGGAAUUACUGGGCGUAAAGAGCUCGUAGGUGGUUUGUCGCGUUGUCCGUGAAAACUCACAGCUUAACUGUGGGCGUGCGGGCGAUACGGGCAGACUGGAGUACUGCAGGGGAGACUGGAAUUCCUGGUGUAGCGGUGGAAUGCGCAGAUAUCAGGAGGAACACCGGUGGCGAAGGCGGGUCUCUGGGCAUUAACUGACGCUGAGGAGCGAAAGCGUGGGGAGCGAACAGG